GACGAACGCUGGCGGCGUGCUUAACACAUGCAAGUCGAACGGAAAGGCCCUGCUUUUGUGGGGUGCUCGAGUGGCGAACGGGUGAGUAACACGUGAGUAACCUGCCCUUGACUUUGGGAUAACUUCAGGUAACUGGGGCUAAUACCGGAUAGGAGCUCCUGUUGCAUGGUGGGGGUUGGAAAUUUUCGGCGGUUGGGGAUGGACUGGCGGCUGAUCAGCUUGUUGGUUGGGGAGUGGCUGACCCAGGCUUUGACGGGUAGCCGGCAUGGGAGGGUGACCGGCCACAAUGGGACUGAGAUACGGACCAGACGCCUACGGGAGGCAGCAGUGGGGAAUAUUGCACAAUGGGAGGAAGCCUGAUGAAGCGACGCUGCGUUCGGGAUGACGGUCUUCGGGUUGUGAACCGCUUUAGCCUGUGACGAAGCGGGAGUGACGGUAAUGGGUAAAGAAGCACCGGCUAACUACGUG
rnacentral:rRNA from 1 species